rnacentral:rRNA from 1 species
CCAACAGGGAUUGCCUCAGUAACGGCGAGUGAAGCGGCAACAGCUCAAAUUUGAAAUCUGGCUCUUUCAGGGUCCGAGUUGUAAUUUGUAGAGGAUGCUUCGGCGUGGGCUCCGGUUUAAGUUCCUUGGAACAGGACGUCAUAGAGGGUGAGAAUCCCGUAUGUGAUCGGUUGCCUUUGCCAUUGUGAAGCUCCUUCGACGAGUCGAGUUGUUUGGGAAUGCAGCGUCUAAAUGGGAGGUAAAUUUCUUCUAAAGCUAAAUACUGGCCAGAGACCGAUAGCGCACAAGUAGAGUGAUCGAAAGAUGAAAAGCACUUUGGAAAGAGAGUCAAAAAGUACGUGAAAUUGUUGAAAGGGAAGCGCUU